AAAAACAUGUUUAAAAUUUGUAUAACGAGAUAUCGAUUUUGCAAUUAGGCUCCGCCCCAUAAUUGCAAAAUCCAUAUUUCCUUGUAGAAAUUUACCAUUUUAACCAUGUUUUAAGUUUAUUGUUGUGAAAAAAUGGCUACGUAUUGUUACGAUUUUUUUUCUCGGAGUCGAGGGUGAAAGGGGCUUAGACGAAGUCUCGCUCGAUGGUUUUAAUCAGUCGUAGCGAACGCCUGUCACCGAUCUCGACCUUUUUUUUUAUUGCGGAUUGUCGCCGGCAGCUCCGCCAAAUUUUGAGUUUUUUUUUUCUCUACGAAGUAGUACUGGCGGGGACGGAGACGGCCAAGCGAGAGGAGGGGGUGCAAAGUAAGAGAAGAGAGAGAGUUGGUGCCGCGAGUAGAUGUAUUUGAGUUUGGCGAGAUUUGACCUGAUGGUUUCCUUUUUUUGAGAGGACUCAGUUCCAUAGGUUGAUAGUGAGGCGUAUCCCUUGUAUAAGGGUCCACGCCAGGGGCGAAAUUUCGGAGCCGUACAGAGGCGACGUAGAGGGCAGCGAGAACGAGGGAAAUUUGCUGGGCGCUGUGAUCAUCGAGUAGCGCCGGUUAGGAGACCCAGAGUUUUGGAUGAUCGCGACGUCGAAGACACGGACCUGGUGAGUUGCACAUCGGGGAAUCCAGGCUGCGGCAGGACUUGGUCAGCGCGUCGCCGUCGUCCUGUGGGAAGACUCCUGUUUUUUUGUGAGCUCCGAGUAAAAGAACACGCCUUAUCGCGAUCGGAAAUUUUCUUAUCGUUUGUCGCCCAGACCAAACCGUUUUUUUUAACUGCGUCUCUCUCUUUCACUCUCUCUUUCACUCUUUACAUGCUUUGCAACGUUUUUUUUCAAGUUUUCACGUACCCGAAUAAACUUGAUGGCGCCCAAUUUUUUUUAUUUGUGAAAUAGUCAGCAUUUCCUGUAACUAGCUAGUAGGCCGUUGUUGCGUAGUAGUUCGUCAGUUCAUUUGCUGUGGUAAUUAGUUAUUGACAUUAGUUGUAGUUUUGUUACCUUUUUACUAACUUAGAUUAUAAUUUUUUUUUGUACUAAAAGCCCUAAAUAUUUUUAAUUAUACAAGCUCGCCAAAAUAA